ensembl:lncRNA
ACCCUUCUUUAACCACAAAUCCACAUCCCAGCCCAAGUCCCAGCCCCAGCCUCCACCCCAAUCCUAGGCCCAGCUGUAGAUUGCUCCCCAACUCCAUGUCCCUGACCCAGGCCCUAAACCCUACUGGGUGUUCUCCCUGCUGAUAUAACAACCAGGGUUUACUGAAAUAUUCCUGAACUUAGCUGGAUUCAGAUACCUGGUUUUAACAACCUGGCCAAACAUCCUGAUUAAACCUCAGUUCCAGGCCCAGACGCAACCCUAGCUUUACCCCAGCUCCAUGGCAGAGGCCCAUUCAAAGCUUUAUCCCCAAUGCUAUGUCCCAGCCCAAGCCCCAGCCCCAGCUUCAGCCCCAGACCCAGGCCCAACCCCAGGCCCAACCAUAGCUUUACCCCACCUCCAUGGCACAGGCCCAGAUCCAGAUUUUCUCCCAAUUCCAUAUUCCAGUGCAAGCCCCAUCCCCACCCCAUCCCCAUCCCCAUCCCCUGCCCCUAUCCCUUGCCCCUGCCCCUGCCCCAGCCCCAGCCCCAGGCCCAGGCCCAGGCCCAGGCCCAGCCCCAAUCCCAACCCUAGCUUUACCUCAACCAUGUCCCAGGCCCAUGCCCCAGCUUUACACCAAUGCCAUGUACUACCAGCCCCAAGCCCAGGCCCAGCCCUAGCUUUACCCCAACUCCAUGGCACAGGCCCAGAUUCAGCUUUACCCCCAACUCCAUGCCCCAGCCCAAGCCCAAGCCCUAGUGCUAGGCCCAGCUAUAGAUUUCACCCUAACUCCAUGUCCCUGGCCCAGUCCCUUAACCCAACUGAGAGUUAUCCCUGUUGAUAUCAAGACCUGGGCUUAGUGAAAUUUUCCUUAACUUAGCUGGAUUUAGACACCUGGUUUUAAAAACCUGGCCAAAACUUACUGAUUAAACCCCAGGCCCAUCCGCAGGCCCAACCCUAGCUUUACCCCACCUCCAUGGCACAGGCCCAGAUACAACCUUACUCCCAAGUCCACGUCCGAGCCCCAACUCCUGCCCCAGCCCCCACCGCCGACCCAGGCCCCGACCCAGGCCCUGACCCAGGCCCCGACCCAGGUGUACAUUUCUUUCCAAUUCCAUGUUUCUGGCCCAGGCCCUUAAUCCUACUGGGAGAUUUCCUUGUUGACAUCACAAUCUGGGGUUACUGUAAUAUUUCUUAACUUAGCUGGAUUUAGAUACCUGGUUUUAACAACCUGGACAAACUUACUGAUUAAACUCUGGGUCCUGCCCCAGCCCCAACCCUAGCUUUACCCCCAGCUCCAUGUCCCAGGCCCAUGUCCCAGCCUCAGCUUUACCCGCAAUGCCAUGUACCAGCCCCAAACCCAGCCCAAGCUCUAGCUUAACCCCAACUCCAUGGCACAGGCCCAGACACAGCUUUACUCACAACUCCACAUCUUAGCCCAAACCCCAGCACCAGCUGCAGCCGCAGCACCAGGCCCAGGCUCAGGCCCAGGCCCAGGCGUAAAUUCCUCCAGAACUCCAGGAUUCUGGCCCAGGCCCUUAAUCCUACUGGGUGUUCUCCCUGUUGAUGUAUCAACCUGUGGUUACUGAAAUAUUCCUUCACUUAGGUGGAUUUAGAUAUAUGGUUUUAAAAAUGUGGCUAAACUUCCUGAUUAAACCCCAGGAACCAGACCCAC